UGGACAAUCACUGACUUGCUGUUGGAAGGUUCCAAAAUCCAUUUAUUCAUACUAGGAUCUCUCGUAUGCAUAAGCUCCAUUGUUUGAGCUGACCCUUGAGGUUCUUUUGGGUUGGAAUUAGCCAACUUCAUUAUCUUGAACCUCCUCUAUUGAUGGUUAGAAUUUGGGUAGUCGACUCUCGAGGUUGGAGUGACAGUACCACAAUGGUGGUUAUCGAAUUUUCCUUAUGAAUAUCCUUGAUUGAUUGUCUGGGUCCAUCAAAAUAGUUCUUUUUUGUCAUUAUUUAUAAAAAAUCAGAGACACACCCCUGAUGAAGUCUUGAUAUUAGACGAAACGCGUUGGGCUAUUACUGUUUUCUGAUGUUAUCUCCGAAUACUCUAUAAGGAAGAUUAAAGAUACAGGCAGAAGUUUAUCUGCACCCUUCCACAAAACACAGGAGAUUUGCAUCUUGCUAACUAUGUAAUGUGAUG